rnacentral:misc_RNA from 1 species
UCCGGUUUGGCACCGGCAGUCCUCCCAGAGUCCCCGACUUGACUCGCUGGCAACUGGGAGCGGGGGUUGCGCUCGUUGCGGGACUUAACCCAACAUCUCACGACACGAGCUGACGACAGCCAUGCACCACCUGUAUACCGACCACAAGGGGGGCACCAUCUCUGAUGCUUUCCGAUAUAUGUCAAGCCUUGGUAAGGUUCUUCGCGUUGCGUCGAAUUAAGCCACAUGCUCCACUGCUUGUGCGGGCCCCCGUCAAUUCCUUUGAGCUUCAACCUUGCGGCCGUACUUCCCAGGCGGAAUACUUAAUGCGUUAGCUGCGGCACCGGCGGUAAACCGCCGACACUUAGUAUUCAUAGUUUAAGGCGUGGACUAC